UAAACCAUACCUACGGCGACAAUUAAGGGGUUCCAGAAUUGUUCUGAGCAACUGCAACUCCAUGGUGUCUGCUGGGAAGAGGCAAUCCUCGUGAAGGUAUAGUUUCUGGUGUAUGUCCAUAUGUGUGGGUGUGCGGGGUGUGGGUGUGUGUGGGGGGAGGCAGUAUUUAAAUCAGCUUCUCCUAGAAGUUUUUGUUCUAUUCCCCACUGAUUUUUUGCGUAUGGCCAUGGGAUUUGGGGAUUCUAAGAAUGCUGCAGUCAGUGUUUGCACUUCGAAUUCAUGUGCACAAAGAAGAAAAAAACAAGGCUUACGGGCAUGGCACUCUCCCUGGGUCUCUUUGUUAACAUUUUGGCAGCGCUCUUUAAAUGAUGCCUUUUCUCUCAGUUCCCUGGAUGUUUUCUGAAGCCUGCACAAUGACUAGAAGGCUCUGUCGCUACAAAGGAAUACCUGAUUCAGAAGAGUAAACAUCGUAACAGCAACCUAUUCAUCAGCUGCCAGACCCAAACCAACCAAAGGUGGUGACUUUUGAAGACUCCAGCUUGGGCCUUACAGCCCCUGGCGGUGAGCGAGGGUUGGUGAGCGAGGGUUAAGGAAAGUGUUCCCAAGAACUCUCCCCAGGAAAAGUCCUUCUCAGGCCUUUCCUGACACUGCCUUUGAGAGUGGACACAGUGUGAGAGGGGAUAGAAGACAUGGCCAUAAACAAGAACAUUGAAAACAGAACGAGAGUCCUGGGAGAAGCCCGGGCCGGAGCGCCAGCACGGCCCUGCACGGUGGCCCUCUAUAAAUGUGCCUACUCGUUGGAAAUUGGUGCCACAGAAUAUCAGCUGGCACGUCAGUUCCCUGCGGCAUUAGCUCUGCAGGAGAAUGAAGCAGAAAGCAGAGAUAAGAUGCUGCAGCAUCUUGCAGCUAGAGGAUGGAAUCCACACUCCAAGAAUGGAAAGCAAUAAACUCUGAGAGCCAGCUCCUUGCGCCUCCCUGAGCAGUGCAGCUGCCACCUCCGGACUUUCUGUUAAGCGCAAAGAUAAACCCUCUACUUGCUAGGCCACACUGGCCUGGUUUCUGUUCGUGCCACCAAACACUAUUUCUACCUGAUGCGAACGGUGAGGAGGGUUCCCUCACCCAACAAAUACUCGCUGAGCGCGGACUCUGUGCUGAGUAAAGAGAUGAACAAUAAAUAACAAGACAAUGGCAGGCUGUGGUAUUAGGAAAGAAAUAACCAGACAGUGACUGGGGAAGGCGGGUCUCUCUCAGGAGGUGACAUCUGAACUGAGAGCUGAAGGGUGAGGUGGAAGCACCCAUGUAAUCAGUCGGGGGAGGGAGAGCACAUUCAGGCAAAUGCAAAAUCCGGGUGACAGGAAUGUGGUGGGGUUGAGUGGGAGGUUCAAAGAACAGAGAGGAAGCCAGUGUGGCUGGAACACAGAGAGGAAGGAAGAGAGUGGGGAAGGG